rnacentral:rRNA from 1 species
CCUACGGGGGGCAGCAGUAGGGAAUCUUCCACAAUGGACGAAAGUCUGAUGGAGCAACGCAGCGUGAGUGAAGACGGGUUUCGGCUCGUAAAGCUCUGUUGGUCGUGAAGAAAGAUAGAGGUAGUAACUGGCCUUUAUUUGACGGUAAUUACUUAGAAAGUCACGGCUAACUACGUGCCAGCAGCCGAGGGAAUACGUAGGUGGCAUGCGUUGUCCGGAUUUGUUGGGCGUAAAGCGAGUGCAGGCGGUACAGUAAGUCUGAUGUGAAAGCCGUCGGCUCAACCGGAGAUUUGCAUCAGAAACUGUUGAACUUGAGUGCAGAAGAGGAGAGUGGAACGCCAUGUGUAGCGGUGGAAUGCGUAGAUAUAUGGAAGAACACCAGUGGCGAAGGCGGCUCUCUGGUCUGCAACUGACGCUGAGGCUCGAAAGCAUGGGUAGCGAACAGGAUUAGAUACCCGAGUAGUC